GUCUAUGACCAUACCACCCUGAAUGAACCUGAUUUCAUCUUAUCUCAUAAGCUAAGCAGGAUUGGGCCUGGUUAGUACUUGCAUGGGAGACCACCUGGGAAUAUGGAGUGCUAUAGACU
rnacentral:rRNA from 1 species